rnacentral:rRNA from 1 species
AUUGAACGCUGGCGGCAGGCCUAACACAUGCAAGUCGAACGGCAGCACAGAAGAGCUUGCUCUUUGGGUGGCGAGUGGCGGACGGGUGAGUAAUGUCUGGGAAACUGCCCGAUGGAGGGGGAUAACUACUGGAAACGGUAGCUAAUACCGCAUAACGUCGCAAGACCAAAGUGGGGGACCUUCGGGCCUCACACCAUCGGAUGUGCCCAGAUGGGAUUAGCUAGUAGGUGGGGUAAUGGCUCACCUAGGCGACGAUCCCUAGCUGGUCUGAGAGGAUGACCAGCCACACUGGAACGGAGACACGGUCCAGACUCCUACGGGAGGCAGCAGGGGGGAAUAUUGCACAAUGGGCGCAAGCCUGAUGCAGCCAUGCCGCGUGUAUGAAGAAGGCCUUCGGGUUGUAAAGUACUUUCAGCGGGGAGGAAGGCAGUGAGGUUAAUAACCUCGCCGAUUGACGUUACCCGCAGAAGAAGCACCGGCUAACUCCGUGCCAGCCGCCGCCGUAA